rnacentral:rRNA from 1 species
GGCGACGACGGGUAGCCGGCCUGAGAGGGUGACCGGCCACACUGGGACUGAGACACGGCCCAGACUCCUACGGGAGGCAGCAGUGGGGAAUAUUGCACAAUGGGCGGAAGCCUGAUGCAGCGACGCCGCGUGAGGGAUGACGGCCUUCGGGUUGUAAACCUCUUUCAGUAGGGAAGAAGCGAAAGUGACGGUACCUGCAGAAGAAGCGCCGGCUAACUACGUGCCAGCAGCCGCGGUAAUACGUAGGGCGCAAGCGUUGUCCGGAAUUAUUGGGCGUAAAGAGCUCGUAGGCGGUCUGUCGCGUCUGCUGUGAAAGCCCGGGGCUCAACCCCGGGUCUGCAGUGGGUACGGGCAGACUAGAGUGCAGUAGGGGAGACUGGAAUUCCUGGUGUAGCGGUGAAAUGCGCAGAUAUCAGGAGGAACACCGAUGGCGAAGGCAGGUCUCUGGGCUGUUACUGACGCUGAGGAGCGAAAGCAUGGGGAGCGAACAGGAUUAGAUACCCUGGUAGUCCAUGCCGUAAACGUUGGGCACUAGGUGUGGGGGACAUUCCACGUUCUCCGCGCCGUAGCUAACGCAUUAAGUGCCCCGCCUGG